rnacentral:rRNA from 1 species
CACGUAGGUAACCUACCCUCAGGACUGAGAUAACCCCGGGAAACUGGGGCUAAUAUUAGAUAGAUAAAAGAUACUGGAAUGUUCUUUUAUCCAAAGCUUUUGCGCCUGAGGAUGGGCCUGCGUCCGAUUAGGUUGUUGGUGGGGUAAUGGCCCACCAAGCCUACGAUCGGUACGGGCAGUGAGAGCUGAAGCCCGGAGUUGGGGACUGAGACAAGGCCCCAGGCCCUACGGGGCGCAGCAGGCGCGAAACCUCUGCAAUGCGGGAAACCGUGACAGGGGGAUCCCAAGUGCUCAUGCAUUGCAUGGGCUGUUCUUUGGUCUAAGUAACCAGAGGAGUAAGGGCUGGGCAAGACCGGUGCCAGCCGCCGCGGUAAUACCGGCAGCUCAAGUGGUAGCCGCGAUUAUUGGGCCUAAAGCGUUCGUAGCCGGAUAAGUAAGUCUUUGGUUAAAUCCUGCGACUUAACCGUGGGAAAUCUAGAGAUACUGCUUGUCUUGAGACCGGGAGAGGUUGGAGGUACUC